GGGACAACCCGCAGAAAGGCGGGCUAAACCCGCGUACAUGCCACCGGGGCAUCCCGGAGGCAGGAAAGGCUUCGGCCGGACAGGGAUGGGCAUGCGGCGCAUUAGGCAGUAGGCGGGGUAACGGCCCACCUAACCGACGAUGCGUAGGGGUUCUGAGAGGAAGGUCCCCCACACUGGUACUGAGACACGGACCAGACUCCUACGGGAGGCAGCAGUGAGGAAUAUUGGUCAAUGGUCGGGAGACUGAACCAGCCAAGCCGCGUGAGGGAUGAAGGUACAGAGUAUCGUAAACCUCUUUUGUCAGGGAACAAAGGCGGGGACGUGUCCCCGGAUGAGUGUACCUGAAGAAAAAGCAUCGGCUAACUCCGUGCCAGCAGCCGCGGUAAUACGGAGGAUGCGAGCGUUAUCCGGAUUUAUUGGGUUUAAAGGGUGCGCAGGCGGUCUGUUAAGUCAGCGGUCAAAGCCCGGGGCUCAACCCCGGCCCGCCGUUGAAACUGGCAGUCUCGAGUUGGAGAGAAGUAUGCGGAAUGCGCGGUGUAGCGGUGAAAUGCAUAGAUAUCGCGCAGAACUCCGAUUGCGAAGGCAGCAUGCCGGCUCCACACUGACGCUGAGGCACGAAAGCGUGGGUAUCGAACAGGAUUAGAUACCCUGGUAGUCCACGCAGUAAACGAUGAAUGCUGGCUGUCCGGG
rnacentral:rRNA from 1 species